CCGGGGUGGGGGCGCGGCGCUCCGGGAAGAGCCUUCCGCAGGUCCCCGCCCCGUCACGUGGGCGCCGGCCCCGGCCGCUGCGGUCGGUCCGCUGGUUGGUCGGGCGCUUGGUCCGGCAGUUGGUCGGUGGGCCAGUGGCCCGUCGCUCGCUUCUGGGCUCUCAUGUUUGAAGGUGGGAGGGACACGGGAGCGGCCCGCACACCUGAGCCGCCCGGAGAGGAGCCGCGGCCCCGUACCCAGUAAGAAGAGGAGGAGACCAGGCAGGCAAAAGGAGUCAUGGCUUCUGAUGCUAGUCAUGCGCUGGAAGCUGCCCUGGAGCAAAUGGACGGGAUCAUUGCAGGCACUAAAACAGGUGCAGAUCUUAGUGAUGGUACUUGUGAGCCUGGACUGGCUUCCCCGGCCUCCUACAUGAACCCCUUACCGGUGCUCCAUCUCAUCGAGGACUUGAGGCUGGCCUUGGAGAUGCUGGAGCUUCCUCAGGAGAGAGCAGCCCUCCUGAGCCAGAUCCCUGGCCCAACAGCUGCCUACAUAAAGGAAUGGUUUGAAGAGAGCUUGUCCCAGGUAAACCACCACAGUGCUGCUAGUAAUGAAACCUACCAGGAACGCUUGGCACGUCUAGAAGGGGAUAAGGAGUCCCUCAUAUUGCAGGUGAGUGUCCUCACAGACCAAGUAGAAGCCCAGGGAGAGAAGAUUCGAGACCUGGAAGUGUGUCUGGAAGGACACCAGGUGAAACUCAAUGCUGCUGAAGAGAUGCUUCAACAGGAGCUGCUAAGCCGCACAUCUCUUGAGACCCAGAAGCUCGAUCUGAUGACUGAAGUGUCUGAGCUGAAGCUCAAGCUGGUUGGCAUGGAGAAGGAGCAGAGAGAGCAGGAGGAGAAGCAGAGAAAAGCAGAGUCGGUUCUGAAUGUGAUCAGUGAGCUGCAGGAGCAGAUGUGUAGGCUGCAGCUGGACAUCCACAGGCAGAUUCAAGAGCGCCUGUUACUCAGUAGGGACCACCCUGAGGAGGUGGCGGCCAGCGACGGUGUGGCCGAGCCCCAGCCCUGCAGCCAGGACUGUGCCUGUUGGGAGGGGUCACCUGAGUUACUGCAAGAGCUCAGGCACCUCAAAAUCAAAGUGGAAGAGUUGGAAAAUGAAAGGAAUCAGUAUGAAUGGAAGCUAAAGGCCACUAAGGCUGAAGUCGCCCAGCUGCAAGAACAGGUGGCCCUGAAAGAUGCAGAAAUUGAGCGUCUGCACAGCCAGCUCUCCCGGACAGCAGCUCUCCACAGUGAGAGUCACACAGAGAGAGACCAAGAAAUUCAACGUCUGAAAAUGGGGAUGGAAACUUUGCUGCUUGCCAAUGAAGAUAAGGACCGUCGGAUAGAGGAGCUUACGGGGCUGUUAAACCAGUACCGGAAGGUAAAGGAGAUUGUGAUGGUCACUCAAGGGCCUUCGGAGAGAACUCUCUCAAUCAAUGAAGAAGAACCGGAGGGAGGUUUCAGAAAGUGGAACACUACAAAUAAGGACCCUGAAGAAUUAUUUAAACAAGAGAUGCCUCCAAGAUGUAGCUCUCCUACAGUGGGGCCACCUCCAUUGCCACAGAAAUCACUGGAAACCAGGGCUCAGAAAAAGCUCUCUUGUAGUCUAGAAGACUUGAGAAGUGAAUCUGUGGAUAAGUGUAUGGAUGGGAACCAACCCUUCCCGGUGUUAGAACCCAAGGACAGCCCUUUCUUGGCGGAGCACAAAUAUCCCACUUUACCUGGGAAGCUUUCAGGAGCCACGCCCAAUGGAGAGGCUGCCAAUUCUCCUCCCACCAUCUGCCAGCCUGACGCCACGGGGAGCAGCCUGCUGAGGCUGAAUCGUGGCCGGAGUGUCAGUGCCCCCGUAUUAGGAGACACAGAAAGUGGCUGGGAUGACACUGCUGUGGUCAAUGACCUCUCAUCCACUUCAUCGGGCACUGAAUCAGGUCCUCAGUCUCCUCUGACACCAGAUGGUAAACGGAAUCCCAAAGGCAUUAAGAAGUUCUGGGGAAAAAUCCGAAGAACUCAGUCAGGAAAUUUCAAUACUGACACGCUGGGGAUGGCAGAGUUUCGACGAGGUGGGCUCCGGGCAACCGCAGGGCCAAGACUCUCUAGGACCAGGGACUCCAAGGGACAGAAAAGUGACGCCAAUGCCCCCUUUGCCCAGUGGAGCACAGAGCGUGUGUGUGCAUGGCUGGAGGACUUUGGCCUGGCUCAGUAUGUGAUCUUUGCCAGGCAGUGGGUAUCUUCUGGCCACACUUUAUUGACAGCCACCCCUCAGGACAUGGAAAAGGAGCUAGGAAUUAAGCACCCACUCCACAGGAAGAAGCUUGUUUUAGCAGUGAAAGCCAUCAACACCAAACAGGAGGAGGAGUCUGCACUGCUAGACCACAUUUGGGUGACAAGGUGGCUUGAUGAUAUUGGCUUACCCCAGUACAAAGACCAGUUUCAUGAAUCUAGAGUUGACGGACGAAUGCUGCAAUACCUAACUGUGAACGAUUUACUCUUCUUAAAAGUCACCAGCCAACUACAUCAUCUCAGCAUCAAAUGUGCCAUUCACGUGCUGCAUGUCAACAAGUUCAACCCCCACUGCCUGCACCGGCGGCCAGCUGAUGAGAGUAACCUUUCUCCUUCAGAAGUUGUACAGUGGUCCAACCACAGGGUGAUGGAGUGGUUACGAUCUGUGGACCUGGCAGAGUAUGCACCCAAUCUUCGAGGGAGUGGAGUCCAUGGAGGCCUCAUUAUCCUGGAGCCACGCUUCACUGGGGACACCCUGGCUAUGCUUCUCAAUAUCCCCCCACAAAAGACGCUCCUCAGGCGCCACCUGACCACCAAGUUCAAUGCCUUGAUUGGUCCGGAGGCUGAACAGGAAAAGCGAGAGAAAAUGGCCUCACCAGCUUACACACCACUGACCACCACAGCCAAAGUCCGGCCAAGGAAACUAGGAUUUUCACACUUUGGAAACAUAAGAAAAAAGAAGUUCGAUGAAUCGACGGACUACAUUUGCCCAAUGGAGCCCAGUGACGGUGUCAGUGAUAGUCACAGGGUCUACAGUGGCUACCGGGGCCUUAGCCCCCUUGAUGCCCCUGAACUGGAUGGGCUGGACCAGUACAGGGAUCUCUGCAUGUGCCUGUUUUCAAAACCUGCAUGGAACUGUUGUGCCACUGAUUCUCUGCACUCUCAAGAAACAGGAGCAGCAUGUGCUCCACCCACCUGUCACUCCUCAGGGCCUGGCCCACUCCUUGCCUAUCCCUCCAGAGAAGCAUGCCCUGGAGAAGCCAGGCUUGAGCACGACAGGACUUGCAUGCCAUCUCUCUGAAUCACAAGCUGCAUCCAUGUGUGCUGACCAGGCUGCUGCCCAUUUUACAGAUGGCACCUUCGGAAGACAAUGCUGAGCCAGGACCAGCUGCUGAAUGACUCUCGCCUGCCUGCCCCCAACUCUGAUGACUGGAGAUGACUUUCUUCGUGGCUGAGAGCGUAGGGAGGCACGUGUGGGGGCCCCGGAGCCUUUGCUUCUGUGGGGAGCGGGCACACAGCCCCCUCUGCAAGCCCAGUCCGGGCUGGCAGGGUGUCUCAGACAGGCUGCUGACAGGCAUGAGGCAGAGCUGUGGGACAGGUGUCCAGGGGUGGCCCCAGGGUCCAUGUGUGUCUUCAACCAUGCCGCGCUCUUCACCGCAGGCUUCAUACCUUUUGUACUCUUAAUACAUGGACUGCAGACCACUUUGUGGGAGGGCAGUGUCAUAUCAGCACACAGACUCGAUGGCUCGUGCUAUUCCUGGUGACAGCCUGGAGGCUCUCACACUCGAGGGGAAGAGCUGUUAGUUCAUAAAACCUGCUGGAAAAAAAGUUCCGAAAAACUGUUUUGAAUGUUCUGUA